AAAAUGACUCUCGGCAACGGAUAUCUUGGCUCACGCAUCGAUGAAGAACGUAGCAAAAUGCGAUACUUGGUGUGAAUUGCAGAAUCCCGUGAACCAUCGAGUUUUUGAACGCAAGUUGCGCCCAAAGCCUUUUGGUCGAGGGCACGUCUGCCUGGGCGUCACAC
rnacentral:rRNA from 1 species